UCGGGAAUAUUGCGCAAUGGAGGAAACUCUGACGCAGUGACGCCGCGUAUGGGAAGAAGGUUUUCGGAUUGUAAACCAUUUUAGACAAGGAAGAAAAAAGGACAGUACUUGUAGAAUAAGCUCCGGCUAACUACGUGCCAGCAGCCGCGGUAAUACGUAGGGAGCAAGCGUUAUCCGGAUUUAUUGGGUGUAAAGGGUGCGUAGACGGGAAGGUAAGUUAGUUGUGAAAUCCCUCGGCUCAACUGAGGAACUGCGACUAAACUGUUUUUCUUGAGUACUGGAGAGGAAAGUGGAAUUCCUAGUGUAGCGGUGAAAUGCGUAGAUAUUAGGAGGAACACCAGUGGCGAAGGCGACUUUCUGGACAGUAACUGACGUUGAGGCACGAAAGUGUGGGGUAGCAAACAGGAUUAGAUACC
rnacentral:rRNA from 1 species